GUACGUUUUGUGAGCACUCCAGAGGUAUUGGAACGUGUGUACACCUUAGAAUCUGAGAUAUUGCAGAUUGAGGAGGCAAUUGCAAUUCAAGGAAACAAUGAAACGGCACCUAGCACUGUAGAAGAAAGUCCAGCAAAACCAACGGAAAGUAUUGAAGGUAACAGAUCUUUGCUGGACAGUGGUGAUGAGAAAGCAAUCGUUCUUUACAAGCCGGGAGUGCAUCCACCUGAAUCAAAUGGAUCCGCUGCACAAGAGGGGAAUUCAAA